GGGGAUGUAAAGGCUUCGACGGGGAUUUUGAAGUAUCGGAAGCGAGCAGCGGUGCGGAACCGCUAUAAAAUCCGUAAUCAAAAUUAAGUAACAACAAUAAAGUUGCUUUAGCUGCCUGAUUUGGCGGCUCAUCCGACCGGAUAUUACCACGGAUCCGUUAGGGUGUCAUUUUAGUGGUGAACGUGAACGGCGGCACGCUCCUGCCACCGUCAUGACUCGGGAGCUUUCCGGGUUGAAAGUUUGACGCCUGACGUUCAGCCUCGGUAAAAUAAUGAAGCGUCUGCGCUCGGAGACGCCGGUAUGAAUAGAUUUUCGGACGCGGGUUCAAUUCCCGCCAUCUCCACCA
rnacentral:tmRNA from 1 species